GUUAUCGGAGCGCAGCUGUACGAGCUAAAAUGGAGCAGACCUUCAUCAUGAUCAAGCCCGACGGCGUCCAGCGCGGCCUGGUCGGCGAGAUCAUUAGCCGAUUUGAGAAGAAGGGAUUCUAUCUGAAAGGGCUGAAGAUGCAGAACGUUGAGCGAUCGUUCGCCGAGAAGCACUACGCGGAUCUGUCCUCGAAGCCUUUCUUCGGCGGGCUGGUGGAGUAUAUUAUCUCCGGGCCGGUGGUUGCGAUGGUGUGGGAGGGAAAGAAUGUCGUUGUCACUGGGCGCAAGAUCAUCGGGGCUACCAACCCGGCGGAGUCGGCUCCCGGGACUAUUCGUGGUGAUUUCUCGAUUGAGAUCGGAAGGAAUGUCAUUCAUGGUAGUGAUUCAGUCGAUAGCGCAAGGAAGGAGAUUGGUCUGUGGUUCCCUGAAGGCAUCGCCGAGUGGCAGAGCAGCUCCCACCCCUGGAUUUAUGAGCACUGAGUUGUAUUGUAGCCCAUCCAGGAUUUCUGAGUGAAUUAGUUUGAUGUUGCAGUCCCUUUUUAGACUAUUUGGGGUACUAUUAUGGGUGUGGUCCUUUAUAUCCCUAUAUUAUCUUCUGAUGCAUAUGUUGCAAACUGGUUUAUGCUGAUGUCUUUUUUUUCCCUCCAAAUGUGGUCCCUAUGUCCAUGUUGCCUAUAUUUUUCAGCUUUAUUGUGAAUCUUAUAUUGUUGCCCUGUGACAGAG
rnacentral:misc_RNA from 1 species